GCAUCAAUGGUUUAAUGGUCAGAAUUGGUCGUUGCCAUCGACUAGAUCCCGGUUCGAUUCCGGGUUGAUGCA
rnacentral:tRNA from 1 species